CCGAGAGACAAACCCCCCCACCCCGGCGAGCGCGCCUGUCCCGUUUCCAUCGCGCGGCAGGGAAAGGAGCUCAACGCGAUCUGAUCUCCGAGCAGAGCGAGAGAAAGAAGGACCGAGAUCUAAAGUUCUUGAUCCACUCGGCAGGGAGCGCCGCCGGCGUGGAUGCCCCCGAUGUCGAUGCCACCGCUGAGGCCGCCGCUCCCGCCGCCAUCUUCCUGGUGUAGUGCCGAAAGCCCGGAUGCGAGAACGGCGGGCCCGAGGUGUGACCAGUGACUGGAGAUUUGGAAGGUUGCCAGUGAACUGCUCUGGGGAAGGGGCUUCUGGGAAGAAGAAAGAGGAAGAAAGGCUGAGAUCCGUCUUGGUGAGGGAGAAGGAACGGCUGCCUGCAAUGCUUUGUGUCAUGCAAUAAUAUUUGAACCCUGUUCACGCAGACUGAGAGCAUAAAUAGACAAAUAAACCUUAUUUCUUAAAACACUAGAGUCUCCACAGUGUCUUCUAUUCUCCACACAGACCCUGGGGUGUUUGUGACCCCAUGCGCUCUGGCCACUGCUUGGCAGAGAGAGGGAGCAGACACCUGGCUUUUGUAACAAUAUAAACAAACAUACUCCAGAAUGUAAUCAUUUGUUGAUUACAAACCAGUUUAUCAUUUGGAGCAUUAAUGAGCCUUUGAAGAUGUUUGCCAGAAGCAGAGAACAAUCCACAUCAUACAUUUAAAGCACAUUUUCUCUGGCUAAAUGUGAUCUGGCAGGUGGUUGUUACA